AUGUGGGAGCCGCCCGGCUUCCCGAGAGACACCUGGUAUGAAUGCCUGAUCGAAAGAGAGGUCGAGUGGUUUCAGGCCGGUCGCUCGAUAGAAAGAAA
ensembl:miRNA MIR9828-3 microRNA mir-9828-1